rnacentral:pre_miRNA from 15 species
ACUGUCUUCAAAGUGGCAGUGACAUGUUGUCAACAAUAUUCAUAUCACAGCCAGCUUUGAGGAGCGUUG